rnacentral:lncRNA from 12 species
AUGCUGUGUGGAAUAGUGUGAAGGAUAACCGUCUUAUGCUGUGGCGUUCAGUGUCUGAGGAUAAAAGUGUACCUCAUGAGAAAGUGGUGGCUCUGUACUCUUAUGCCUCUUCUACCCCAGAGGAUCUGGAUUUCAAACAGGGAAACGUCAUCGGUUCUUUGCAAAGUCAGUGAUGAGUGGCUUGAUGGUCAGUGCAACGGGAAGAUUGACAUAUUCCCAUCAUCCUUUGUUAAAGCACUUAAUGGAGAUGAGCAAUGCGAAUGAAUCAUUCAUCCAACAGUUAGAACAAAUGUGAUGAUUUGAUCAUUUGGGAAGAACCUACAGUAUUUUCAAGUCUAUUUUUUUUUAAUUAUUAUUAUUAAUAUUGUUAAAUUCAUGCCAGCGCUUGCUGCUUCGCUGUCUCACUUUGGUUGUGUGGUAAAGUCAUUCCACUUGUCAUAUUAUAUUGAGGUCAUAUUUUUGAUGAAGGCAGAACAAGAAGUUUUAUUCUGUUUGAAUACAAAGACAACAUUAAAGCACAUUUGACAUUUAUAUUUUUUUCUUAUUAAAUUCACUUUCUAUAAUUUGCUACCAUUGGCAGCACAAUAGAUCAAGUUUUAUUUAUCAAAUAUUAAUUUACCUUGCUUGAUUUGUGACCAGCAGCAGAAAAAAACACACUAAAACAUGUGCCCAAAAGAUGUAUUUUUACUAUUACAUCUCCUUAAGUAUAUUGAUGCGAUUCAUGUGCUGUGCGUGUUAAAGUAAUCCUCUGAUGAUUUCUUAUGACAGUCCAAUAAUCAAUUACUUUUAUGAUUUUUGAAGAGGUGUUGAAGCAUUUCAUAGCAAAAGAACUAUGAAUUUCAGAGACGGUGGCGCUUCCAAAUAGGUUUUAUUAGUGAGUCAUUAUUUCACUGUACUUACGAACUCCUUCACACAGCUUUUUUCUAAAUUCAAAUCCAAAUUGGCAUCUGCAUGCUCUUUGUUUAUUAUAUCCUGUAGCACAAAAAAAAUUUAAAACUGCAGUGACAUAGUAAAGAUUUAUGUUUAAGGGCUGUGAAAGUGACAUGACAUACAGCCAAGUAUGGUGACCCAUACUCAGAACUCAAGACUCAAACCCACAACCUUAGGGUUAGGAGUCAAACUCUCUAACCACUAGGCCACAACUUCCCCUGUGUGUGCCUCUUUGUAUGCCUCUGUGUAUGCCUCUGUGACAAGAUCUUAAUAGCGAAGCAAAACCUUUUU